UACAGAGGGGGCAAGCGUUGUUCGGAAUUACUGGGCGUAAAGGGCGCGUAGGCGGCCUGCUAAGUCGAACGUGAAAUCCCUGGGCUCAACCCAGGAACUGCGUCCGAUACUGGUCGGCUUGAAUCCGGGAGAGGGAUGUGGAAUUCCAGGUGUAGCGGUGAAAUGCGUAGAUAUCUGGAGGAACACCGGUGGCGAAGGCGACAUCCUGGACCGGCAUUGACGCUGAGGCGCGAAAGCCAGGGGAGCAAACGGG
rnacentral:rRNA from 1 species